ensembl:lncRNA
ACCACCAGAGGUGAGCUUGUGAGAGGGGACCUCCCAGUUGCGGUGGAUCUUCCCUCCUGGCACCAGAAUGUAAGACGAGUGUGGAGAAAAAGAGAGUGAGCCGGGCAGUCAGGCAAGAAAAGGAGAUUUAUUAGAGGGAAAUGAGAGGGUGACUGGCCCUUGAUUAGAACCCUUUCUGAUGGAGUCUUUCUUAUACCCUGCCAGUGCAAAAUUCUCUGAAGGGAUAGUUAAUUUUUAGCCUGGAGUUAGGUCAUGUGGUCAUGCAGCUGGAGGUCUGGAAUCUGAUGGUCUCCUAGCUUUGAGAAGGGGCUAGCAGCGCACCCAGGCCCAAGUCAGGUCUGCCAGGCAGUCCUGUUGGCUGCACUGGUCUCAGUGAGUCCAGCUUGGUGUGGUCUCCAUGCAGAGGAAGUUCGGGCACCAGGGCAUUGCUAGCGGCUUUACAGGGACGCCACUUCCUCCCUGGCCUUUGCAGGAGAGGGAACUCCAGGCUGCAGAUGCCCUGGAACUGGAGAGCAAGGAAUCUGCAGCUCCACAUGGACGUGGCCUUAGUGUGGCAGGAUUUGCUCGGCAUUGCCUCCUGAGAAAUCUGCAUGCAGGUCAAGAAGCAACAGUUAGAACUGGACAUGGAACAACAGACUGCUUCCAACUUGAGAAAGGAAUACGUCAAGGCUGUAUAUUGUCACCCUGCUUAUUUAACUUAUACGCAGAGUACAUCAUGUGAAAUGCUGGGAUGGAUGAAGCACAAGCUGGAAUCAAGAUUGCCAGGAGAAAUGUCAAUAACCUCAGAUACUCAGAUGACACCACCAUUAUGGCAGAAAGCAAAGAGAACUAAAGAGCUUCUUGAUGAAAGUGAAAGAGGAGAGUGAAAAAGUUGGCUCAAAACUCAACAUUCAAAAAACUAAGAUCAUGGCAUCUGGUCCCAUCACUUUAUGGCAAAUAGAUGGGGAAACUGAGAGACUUUAUUUUCGGGGGCUCCAAAAUCACUGCCGAUGGUGACUGCAGCCAUGAAAUUAAAAGACGCUUGCUCCUUGGAAGAAAAGUUAUGGCCAACCUAGACAGCAUAUUAAAAAGCAGAG